GUGCUUCAGUAGUGCGUAUACUAAAAUUGGAAUGAUACAGAGAAGAUUAGCAGGGCCGCUGGGCAAGAGGGACACACAAAUUCGUGAAGCAUUCCAUAUUAAA
rfam:Otolemur garnettii contig106799, whole genome shotgun sequence.